CCAUAAGUCCUAGCCCAUAAGUAAUUAACCAUCUCCUUCUCUUUCUCUCUCUCUAGGCCCAAAUUACCUAUCUCUCUCUUUCUCUCUCUCCCUCUCUCCCUCUCCUACAUAGACCCAAAACCCGACACCUCUCGCCCUUUCUCCCUCGCGGAUCCACAUUGUCUCCUCCAACGUCUUCUUCUCUAGGGUUUUCUCCUCAACCACUUUCUAGGGUUUUCGACUCGUCCGCUCCUCUCAACCUCACGCAUGAUGGCCGGAUUGCGAAGGAUCGUUCGCUGAGGCGAUCCCCCUUGAGCUCGCACGUGAUCGUCGCUUGGGAGGACCUUCGCCGAGGUGAUUCCUCUUGAGCUCGCACGUGAUCGUCGCUUGGGAGGACCUUCGUCGAGUCACACACGAUCGCCGCUUGGGAGGACCUUCGCCGAGUCGCACGCAAUCGCCGCUUCGGAGGAAUCGUUCGUCCACCUUCAUCAAUAUCCUUCUUUCUCACUACUUUUUUUUGGUAAGUUUUGAUCAUUUUUUGAUUUUUUUUUCAUUUUUAAUUAGCUUCGGGUAUUCAUGUAAAUAUCAUUUGUGCAUAUACUUUGUUUGUUUAUAUUAAUCUUUAUCUAGUUUUUUAUUUUUAAUUAGUUUUUUUUUUUUUUUAAUUAACUUCUGGUUCAACUAAUCAAAUCCACCAACAUUUGGAGAAUUGUGACUAUGACCGAUUAGUAUUUAGCUAGCUUGCAAAUCCACAUUUUUAAUCUAUAUUCUUCACCAUUAUUGGCUUGAUUAUUGCAGAUUAACAGCUAACUAGCAUUCCCAUCCCUGUCUUAGCCGAAAUAAACAUCUUGUCCAGCUUGAUUAUUGCGCUCCUCUAGAAGUUCCAUUUCAAUUUCAUUGAACAAAGAGAGGGCUCACAAGAUUUAAUAUAUCUAUGCAUAUAUAUAAANACAUUUCAUACUAACUGUCUAUUACUUUCUAUUAAUCCCGAAUAACAAAAGCUGAGGUGGCAUGACCUCCUUUUUUUGAAAUUUUUUUUAAUUUUUUUAUUUUUUAAAUUCCACAUAAUUCUCUACAUUCUAUAUUUCAUACUAACUAUUUUUUUAGCAAUUAAUUUUCUAAAUUUGGAAACUUUUCUGAUUUUUUUAUUUUUUAAAUUCCAUAUAACCCUCUACAUUCUACAUUUCAUACUAACUGUUAUUUUAGCAAUUAAUUUUCUAAAUUUGGAAACGGUUUUUCAUAAUUGCAAUUGAUAAAUUAUUAUAAACUAUAAUAAUUAAUUGUCAAAUUUAUUACUUUUUAUUAAUUCCACAUAACCCUCUAUAUUCUACAUUUUAUCUAUUACUUUCCAUUAAUCCCCAAUAACAAUAGCUGAGGUGGCAUGACCUCCUUUUUUUUGAAAUUUUUUCUGAUUUUUUUAUUUUUUAAAUUCCACAUAACCUUCUACAUUCUACAUUUCAUACUAACUGUCUAUUACUUUCUAUUAAUCCCCAAUAACAACAGCUGAGGUGGCAUGAUUUCCUUUUAUUGGAAUUUUUUUUAAUUUUUUUAUUUUUUAAAUUCCACAUAAUCCUCUGCAUUCUAUAUUUCAUACUAACUAUUUUUUUAGCAAUUAAUUUUCUAAAGUUGGAAACUUUUCUGAUUUUUUUAUUUUUUAAAUUCCAUAUAACCAUCUACAUUCUACAUUUCAUACUAACUGUUAUUUUAGCAAUUAAUUUUCUAAAUUUGGAAACGGUUCUUCAUAAUUGCAAUUGAUAAAUUAUUAUAAACUAUAAUAAUUAAUUGUCAAAUUUAUUACUUUUUAUUAAUUCCACAUAACCCUCUACAUUCUACAUUUCAUCUAUCUAUUACUUUCCAUUAAUCCCCAAUAACAAUAGCUGAGGUGGCAUGACCUCCUUUUUUUGAAAUUUUUUCUGAUUUUUUUAUUUUUUAAAUUCCACAUAACCCUCUACAUUCUACAUUUCAUACUAACUGUCUAUUACUUUCUAUUAAUCCCCAAUAACAAAAAGCUGAGGUGGCAUGACCUCCUUUUCUUGGAAUUUUUUUUUAAUUUUUUUAUUUUUUAAAUUCCACAUAAUCCUCUACAUUCUAUAUUUCAUACUAACUAUUUUUUUAGCAAUUAAUUUUCUAAAUUUGGAAACUUUUCUGAUUUUUUUAUUUUUUAAAUUCCAUAUAACCCUCUACAUUCUACAUUUCAUACUAACUGUUAUUUUAGCAAUUAAUUUUCUAAAUUUGGAAACGGUUUUUCAUAAUUGCAAUUGAUAAAUUAUUAUAAACUAUAAUAAUUAAUUGUCAAAUUUAUUACUUUUUAUUAAUUCCACAUAACCCUUUACAUUCUACAUUUCAUACUAACCUUUUUUUAGCAAUUAAUUUUCUAAAUUAGGAAACGGUUCUUCAUAAUUGUAAUUGAUAAAUUAUUAUAAACUAUAAUAAUUAAUUGUCUAAUAAACUAUAAUAAUUUCUAUUAAUUUUUAAAUUUUUUCAUUAAUAAAAUUCAAAAAUUAAAAAAAUGCCUCCAAAAGCUUAUGUUCUUAUCUUCUUCUUUUGGGCUUUGCUCACUAUUAUCAUCCCAACUCUCAUUUAUUGGUUAUCACCCACAAAAUGAUAUUUAGAUUUUCAAGGUAAUAUUAUUUUAAAAUGAAAAUUAUUGAGCUUUCUUUUUUUUAUUUUUUUUGAAUUGGCUAAAGUGUUAUUUUUUCUCUAUUUUAUUUCAUUUUGUGAUAUGAUAGGAAGGAAAAAUGUAUAUACAAGAUUUAGGAGAAUGAUGAGCUCAAUGAAGAUUGUAACAACUUUAAAUUAACAUCAUCAACCCCGUCGUCGUUGCCAGCACCAUCAACAUCGCCCAUUAGAUGAAAUGAUAUAACGAGGUAAUAGAAAACUUACAGAGUUUUUUUUUGUCCCUUUUUAUCCUUUUUGGUUAUCAUCCACAAAAUAAUAUUUAGAUUUUCAAGGUAAUAUUAUUUUAAAAUAAAAAUUAUUGAGCUUUCUUUUUUUUUUAUUUUUUUUUUAAUUGGCUAAAGCGUUGUUUUUUCUUUAUUUUAUUUCAUUUUUGUGAUAUGAUAGGAAGGAAAAAUAUAGAUACACGAUUUAGGAGAAUGAUGAGCUCAAUGAAGAUUGUAACAACUUUAAAUUAAUAUCAUCAACCCCAUCGUCGUUGCCGGUACCAUCAACAUCGCCCAUUAGAUGAAAUGAUAUAACGAGGUAAUAGAAAACUUACAGAGUUUUUUUCUCCCUUUUUUUUUCCCUUUUUUUUUAAGGAAAAAUAGAGAAAUAAGUUUGCAAAAGAGGGGAGUUGUAUGAUUUUAUUCAAACUAGGUUUUAUAGAAAAGGUUGAUGCUUCUAUGUAUAUUUGUGAGGUGUGUGCAUUUUUAGUUUUUUUUCCCUG
rnacentral:lncRNA from 1 species